rnacentral:rRNA from 1 species
GAUGAACGCUGGCGGCGUGCCUAAUACAUGCAAGUCGAGCGAACAGAUGAGGAGCUUGCUCCUCUGACGUUAGCGGCGGACGGGUGAGUAACACGUGGAUAACCUACCUAUAAGACUGGGAUAACUUCGGGAAACCGGAGCUAAUACCGGAUAAUAUAUUGAACCGCAUGGUUCAAUAGUGAAAGACGGUUUUGCUGUCACUUAUAGAUGGAUCCGCGCCGCAUUAGCUAGUUGGUCAGGUAACGGCUUACCAAGGCGACGAUGCGUAGCCGACCUGAGAGGGUGAGCGGCCACACUGGAACUGAGACACGGUCCAGACUCCUACGGGAGGCAGCAGUAGGGAAUCUUCCGCAAAGGGCGAAAGCCUGACGGAGCAACGCCGCGUGAGUGAUGAAGGUCUUCGGAUCGUAAAACGCUGUUAUUAGGGAAGAACAAAUGUGUAAGUAACUAUGCACGUCUUGACGGUACCUAAUCAGAAAGCCACGGCUAACUACGUG